UUUUUUUUUUUUUUUUGAGAGAUAAGUAGCACGCUACCUGUUUCGUUUAUUUUAUUUAGAAAUAAACUUAGCUGGAAAUGUGAAUGAAUUAGGAUUUGAAUUUGGGACGUCGGGUUGGGACCUCGGGAACCAACCACCAAACCCUUUGCCACUUGCUCUAGGGAAGAGAUUAACUGGAAUUACACAUAUAUAUAUAAAUAUUAAAUAGAGAGAGAGAUGGACAAAAUACUAUUGAUAGCAAACCAACUCGAUUGCAAACAAACUCGAUUGCUAUCGAUCUAUUUUCAAUGAUGGACCUUCAAAUUGACGAUCAAUAUUAUUGAAUAUGAUCUAGACCACUUAAAGUAUCUAACAAUCAAAUUUUAAAUUUUUUUCGACAUCAUUAAUCUAAUGAUUAAAGGUUGCAAUAUUUAUAAUUUUAAUAGUCGGUAUGAGAUAUUUGGUCGUUUAACAGCAUAAAUAAAUCUAAAUCAAUUAAAUUUUAGUUAGAAAUUUUUUAAAAUUAUUUAAACAAGAUCUAUACUCUUAAUCUUGAUUAUAAGAAUCUUAUUAUCAUUUUUUAAAGGAUAUACUUUUUUUAUGUCUACUUGAUGUACAAGAGAUACCGAAAAAUAUAAAAUUUGAUUUUUCGAUACUUUAUGAUUUUGAUUAUGUUCAGCUAUGUCGAUUGCCGAUAAAGAAGCUCCAUUAUCGAAAAUAAAUCGGUAACAAUAUAGUGAAGU
rnacentral:lncRNA from 1 species